UGUCUCAGCCUCCUGAGUAGCUGGGAUUAGGUGCGCGCCACCAUGCCUGGCUAAUUUUUGUAUUUUUAGUAGAGAUGGGGUUUCACCAUAUUGGUUAGGCUGGUCUCAAACUCCUGACCUCAGGAGAUCCACCUGCCUCAGCCUUCCAAAGUGCUGGGAUUACAGGUGUGAGCCACCACGCUCAGCUGACAUUUGGUUAUUUUGAUUUUUUUGUUAUAUUACAAAUAAUGUUAUUAAAACACUUGUGAUACAAGUGUCUCUUCGGGUCAUGGGCACACAAUUCAGUUGGGUAUAAAGCUAAGAAUGGAAUCAUUGGGUCAUAGGGUAUGCAUAUCUUCAACUUCACUGGAAAAUAUCAGUUCCCAAAGUAGUAAUUGCCUAAAUUUACAUUCUCAUCAGCAGUGUAUUAAAGUUUCCAUGGCUCCUCAUACUUGCUAACACUUGGUAUUGUCAGCUGCCUUUGUUUUAGCCAUCUGGGUGUAUGUCCUUAUUCUUUGAAUAUGAAUUUCCUUGAUUACUAAUGAGGAUAAACCCUUUUUCAUUACAUAUAUGUGAAUACACAUAUACAUAAAUAUAUACAGUAUACAUACUGUAUAUGUGUAUAUGAAAACAUAUACAUACAUAAAUAUAUAUGUAUAUAUACUGUACAUAUUAGGCUAUCUGGAGUUCUUCUUUUCUGAAUUGCCUGUUCAAGUCUCUUGCUCAUUUUUCUGUUGAGUUGUCUGUUUUUUCUUAAUGGUGCAUAGCUCUCCUGUAUGUAUUUUGUAUUUAACUGACAGCUGUUUUGCAAAUAUAUUCUCCCAGUUGUGGUUUGCUUUUUCACUCUAUUAAUGAUUGUUUUUGGUAAAGAGAAAUUCUUAAAUGUUUAAUGCUAAUAUAAUAAGAUCUAUUUAACCUUU
rnacentral:lncRNA from 1 species